AGUGAACGCUGGCGGUAGGCCUAACACAUGCAAGUCGAACGGCAGCACAGUAAGAGCUUGCUCUUACGGGUGGCGAGUGGCGGACGGGUGAGGAAUACAUCGGAAUCUACUUUUUCGUGGGGGAUAACGUAGGGAAACUUACGCUAAUACCGCAUACGACCUACGGGUGAAAGCAGGGGAUCUUCGGACCUUGCGCGAUUGAAUGAGCCGAUGUCGGAUUAGCUAGUUGGCGGGGUAAAGGCCCACCAAGGCGACGAUCCGUAGCUGGUCUGAGAGGAUGAUCAGCCACACUGGAACUGAGACACGGUCCAGACUCCUACGGGAGGCAGCAGUGGGGAAUAUUGGACAAUGGGCGCAAGCCUGAUCCAGCCAUACCGCGUGGGUGAAGAAGGCCUUCAGGUUGUAAAGCCCCUUUGUUGGGAAAGAAAAGCAGCAGGUUAAUACCCCGCUGUUCUGACGGUACCCAAAGAAUAAGCACCGGCUAACUUCGUG
rnacentral:rRNA from 1 species